rnacentral:rRNA from 1 species
GUAAGGAAUAUUGGGCAAUGGAGGAAACUCUGACCCAGCCAUGCCGCGUGCAGGACGACAGCUCUAGUAGUUGUAAACUGCUUUUAUACGGGAAGAAACGCACCUACGUGUAGGUGUCUGACGGUACCGUAAGAAUAAGGACCGGCUAACUCCGUGCCAGCAGCCGCGGUAAUACGGAGGGUCCAAGCGUUAUCCGGAUUUAUUGGGUUUAAAGGGUGUGUAGGCGGAAUGGUAAGUCAACGGUGAAAUCCUGCAGCUUAACUGCAGAACUGCCGUUGAUACUGCUUUUCUUGAGUAUAGUUGAAGUGGGCGGAAUGUGUCAUGUAGCGGUGAAAUGCAUAGAUAUGACACAGAACACCGAUUGCGAAGGCAGCUCACUAAACUAUUACUGACGCUGAGGCACGAAAGCGUGGGUAGCGAACAGG